AACCAGGAACAUGAGCUUGUUAGACCACAUAGAAAGACACAGGGCCCUGAACUAGCCAUACUGGCUAUGGCCACAUCAGUGGAAAUGAUGAAGUGAAUAUCAGGAGGAGGAAUGAAGCAUUUGGUGAAGAUAGAGCCACAUAUAAAAAAUGAAAUCCAGAAGAAAAAUUUCUUGAUUUCAGGAUGAAAAAAGCAGCAUACUAGUAAAAGAAAGUACUGAGGAAAAUUGUCUAAUGGACACUUGAUUUUUUUUGUUUCUGUUUUAUUUUGUUUUGUUUGCUUAGUGUCCUAACCCACUGUUUCAGGUUAGCUGCCCAUUUCUCUCUGGAUAGAUCCUUUUUCUGGCAAAUCAGAGUCCUUCAUUUUCUUGGCACAAAGACUGGCCUGGAGAAGCUAAAAGGAUAGCAGUCUGGAGAAAGCUGAGGGUAGACAAAUAAGAAGCCAACUGGAGACCAGAGGAAAUGAGGAAAGCAGAAGAACAGACUUACAGAAGGAAUGAUCUGAGGUGAAUGUAUAGGGUUAGAGUGUGCUUUUCGGCACAGACCCUUGUGCCUGAUGCUGCCCUGGAGGUAUCUGAAACCAACUGGAGGCAGAUGGUCCUGCUGACGACGGGUCAGAAGGAAGGUCAGUGGUUACCUACCUCUAUGUCACAAUCCUGCAUCCUUCACCCGACUUCUCAUCACAGAGGCAUUUUCUUAUCUCACAUCAUCACAAGUAGGGGCUCAUGAAAGAUACAAGCUCAAGACAAAAGAGAACAAGAAAACCUUGGAACCAGAUUUCUGGUCACAAUAAAGAAAUUACUUU